ACGUAGUUUGUAAAAACUCGGUAGUCUCUGCAGCUUCGACGACGACAGCUUCGUUGUCAGCACCAGGAAAUUGGUUCGGUGCCGGAGUUUCCGGAGCUGACUGGACGAGGUUUGGUAGAACCGUCGUAGUUACCGCAGGAAAAAUUCAACGCCGUGGCUCAAGCUUCGUGACGUGAAAUGAUACCUGUUUCCUCCUCGUCGUCGUCGUCGUCGUCGUCAGCGUCAUGGAUGGCGAUCGUUUCCUCCUCCACGCUCUCCGGAACGUCGUUGCUCGACUGAAGAGGGACUUGCUGUGGUCUGACCAGGAAAUCCGGCCGACAGACGUCGCCGUCCCGACGCAUCGGCGAGGUGCAUUGACAUCGUCCGAAUAGAUCAGGGAUUAUGAAAUCGCAAUGAGUGUCGCUGUCCCAGAGAUGACAGUGCGAGUGGCUGUAACAAACGUCGCCAGGCCGAGCGGCUGGACGGAAAUUACGAGAUUACACAGGAGAAACGCUCGAGUUUAUCAUAUAUGUACGAUGCGAAUAUGUAUGAGGGAGAAGACAUUGCACGCAGAGACGUGACGAAUUAAUUAACUGCGCCAACGUCCGAGGAAGUCGGCCGUAUUAUCAUCCUGCGUAAGCAUUUAAUAAAUAUUUAUCAUAUGGUGGGUGGGAACGGGGUCGCUUAAUUAUUAUGAUUCGCGAAUCGCGCACUGCACUGCGUGAUACGUUUCGAAUGUUGUGUUUGCACGGGUCGGUGAACCGAGGACCAGGUCGUUACUUGAAAUGAAAACUCGAAGCAACCUAUAAGCCGUCCGCCUACCUAUCGCUUCAUAAAUUAUGGCAGAAGACGUAUACAAUAUAGAUGUCUAAUGAUGCUUGGCUACCGUUCGCAAUCCUUAGUCGUGCAAAGUACAAGGUACACUGUUAAGAAUUAUUGUGCAUUUUAUACUGUGCGAGAGUUGUCAAUUUACGAAAUAAGGUUGCAAGUUUAAAAAUUUGGCGCGGUGACCUAAAUGACUAUGUAUACGUCUUAGAUAUAGAAUGAAAGUUUUUAAUUUUAGUAAACCUUACAGGAGGAAGACGAAAAAAUUAUUUCAAUUUACUAAAUUGUGUAGCAAAUUUAUUUUAUUUGUAAAUUGAAUUUAUGGUGAACUCAUUGUUCCGUAUCCCAGUAAAACUUCAAAAUACAGCGUAGCAAGUUCCGUACAGAAAUUUUUAACAUUGAACGAAACCCUGACUAUAACGUGAACUUAUACCACACAGGGUUGAGUAGAAAUUGCAAAAGAACAAGAGAAGGAUUUGGAUAAAGAUCACACGAAGACACAUUUGCGUACGAAUUUCAUAUUACCUUCCUGAUCGUCAUCGGGUUUCUUGACCAGGGAAAAAAGAAACUUCCGCAGUAAAGCAACGUCGCUUAAAAUUUCUACUUCGAGUUUAGUCGGAGCCUUGGUGAAGUACGGAUGGUAAAAUUGAUAUACUAUACUCACGUCCGAGACACGUGUGUUUUCGGAACUGCAAAUAACCUUCCUCGCAUCUGCAGA